GGUUGAUUACGAAAGUUGCGAAAACAUGAAAGUAGUAAAGAUGAUUAAUUUGACAGAGAGAUUAAAUUGCUGGGAUUAGAUUUCAAUCACUCAUUCAUACACAUUCCCCUAAUCAGUUACACAUGUUCUAGUCAUCUAUCAAUAUUAUCACGUAUCGCUCGUCGAACGUUUCCGUGUCCAGAUAACGCCGAGAUAUCUAUUGCAUCUAUUAAC
rnacentral:lncRNA from 1 species